rnacentral:lncRNA from 1 species
ACUGCUAUUGUUUCCAACUAAGAAAGAAAUCUGUUCUUGAAAUACAGACUCAGGAAACCAGGCAACAGUUGAUGCACCAUUCUAACUUAAGAAAGAUUAGAGCUAGCUGGCCCGGCACCAAAGCCACCAGCACCACGACCAAAGGCAGGUCUUGUGGGAGCACCCUGCACAAUACCAAAAAAAAAAACAAGGUGAGCAAAAUUGAGUAGCAUAUAUAACUGACAUGACAAAAAGGAGACCAAUAUGAACACUUCACAAUGACAACUAGGCAGGAGAUGAAAUUUUGGGUUUGCAACACCUACUGGACAUUCAUAUAUCCAAAAAUAACUAAUCAAUUGUCCAAACCCAAUUAUAUCAUGACUUAUCAGUCAUGCAAUACUAGUAGAAUAGUUUGUAACAUGCAGAUAUUCAUUUUAUUGUGAAAUUUCCAAUAUUUUCCAAUUCUAUAGAUUGGGUUCUCUUCUCCGACAUUCAUCCCACACUUCUGUGUGGAUGAGAGCAUACAACACAAAUGACGUAAACAUAUAUACUGACUGGUAAGAAAAAGCAUGAUUUAAACAACACAAAAUUUACCCCGAAAGAUGGUCUGUAAUCAGCAGGGGCUCCUCCCUUGUCACCGCCAAAGUCACCUCCUGGUCCACCACGAGGACCUCCACGGUAACCAUCACGGUCACCUCCAAAUCUACGCUCUCCAUCACCAAAGCGGGGUGGGCCACUAAUGCACGACGAAAACAAACACAAAAAUACAUUCCAGUCAAUCAACAUUCAACAAAAAAACCAUAAACCAAAAGAACAAAAUCAUUGCAAAACCUACCAAGAGAGCUAACAAGCAUGUCAAAUAUCAAAAUCACUGCACACACUCAACGAUUUCACUACUUAGACAGUAUCAAUGUAUCUUACAUAUUAAUUGAAUUACCAGAGGACCUACAGAACUACCAAUUCGCGAAUAUCAUUGUGUUCUUCUACAUUGUAGUUAAACGCAAUCCACAAAACCACAUCAUAGUACAAUAAACGUUCAAAUUCAAACAAGAGUGGUGAAUUACCGAGGACGGUCGCCUUGUGGGCCACCGAAAGGACGGCCAGCAGGCUUAGGCUGCUUCUUGAGAGUGUUGGGCACAAUCUCGGAAGGCAGGUUGAGGUAGUUCCUCAAGAACUCAAUCCCAUCGUUAGUGAGGUACCAGUAGUAGUACAUCCAAGCGAAAGUCUCCCUCACAUACUCCUUGGACUUGAAGCUCUGCAUCAGCUUAAUCACCUGGAGAUUCGGCACAUCAAUCUCCGGAU